ACUAGAUCAUACAUAAAUUUUACAUUAUUUGAUGCAUCAUUUAGAAGAUAACUUUUACUAUAAAAUAAAGCAUUGCUUAGUCAGAAUAAGAUGACAAACUAUACUAUAACAAUCCAAUCAUGUAUGCAUCGAUCAUGCAGGUCCGAAAAAUGAAUUCAAAGAGCAAUAUAAAAACAAUCAUAGUCAUCAAACACUUGUCAUUUGACAUAUCAUCUUUUUAAUAAUGCU
rnacentral:lncRNA from 1 species